rnacentral:rRNA from 1 species
GACGAACGCUGGCGGCGUGCCUAAUACAUGCAAGUCGAGCGCAGGAAGCCGUCUGAACCCUUCGGGGGGACGACGGUGGAAUGAGCGGCGGACGGGUGAGUAACACGUAAAGAACCUGCCCAUAGGUCUGGGAUAACCACGAGAAAUCGGGGCUAAUACCGGAUGUGUCAUCGGACCGCAUGGUCCGCUGAUGAAAGGCGCUCCGGCGUCGCCCAUGGAUGGCUUUGCGGUGCAUUAGCUAGUUGGUGGGGUAACGGCCCACCAAGGCGACGAUGCAUAGCCGACCUGAGAGGGUGAUCGGCCACACUGGGACUGAGACACGGCCCAGACUCCUACGGGAAGCAGCAGUAGGGAAUCUUCCACAAUGGACGAAAGUCUGAUGGAGCAACGCCGCGUGAACGAUGAAGGCUUUCGGGUCGUAAAGUUCUGUUGUAAGGGAAGAACAAGUGCCGCAGGCAAUGGCGGCACCUUGACGGUACCUUGCGAGAAAGCCACGGCUAACUACGUGCCAGCAGCCGCAGUAAGAC